CCCUCUCUCCGCUCCUCUCCCCCCCCUCGGUGCAAACCGCGAAAAUAGCAGCCGCCCAUUCGCACUCCUCCUCCCCCGUGCCGCGAUGAGCGACGGCGCCGAUUCCGACCGCGACCUCCCGCGCACCGACGGCGACGACGAGCCGCGCCACGCCGACCCGCGGGCCGCGAAGGAGGAGGAGCCGCCCGUGGCCGACGAGUUCCAGGACGCGCCCCCGUCCCCCGAAACGAACAGCGACGGCGACGGCGAGCGUUCCCCGGAUCGGGCGGGGCUGCCCAAUGCGGGGGAGCGCGGGGAGGCCGCGCCGCCCGACGCCGGGGAGGAGGCCGUGGGUGUGAGGGUGGAGACGAACGGCGAGGACGCCAUGAGCCACGACGGCGAUGAGGGGGACGGCGAGGACGAGGACGACGAUGAAGAUGAUGAUGAUGAGGAGGAUGAUGAGGAUGAGGACGACGACUCCACCCCGGAUGCGUCGCCGAGGGCGGAGGUGAAGACGGAGGGCGACGGCUCGACCGGGAUGGCGCAGUGCGCCAGCCAGCAGCCGGUGGAGCCCGACCCUUUCCUCGACGGACACGACUCCGGGACGGAGGAGGAGCAGGCGGCGUUCAUGUCUGAGCUGGACCGCUUCCACAGGGAGCAUAGCCUCGAGUUCAAGCCGCCCAAGUUCUACGGCAAGGGCCUCAACUGCCUCAAGUUGUGGAGACAGGUCGCUCACCUGGGAGGCCAUGAGCAGGUAACAGUUUGUAAACUAUGGCGUCAAGUUGGAGAGACUUUCAGGCCACCAAAGACCUGCACUACGGUGUCUUGGUCAUUUCGAAUUUUCUACGAGAAGGCACUUCUUGAAUAUGAAAAACACAAAGUACGAACUGGCCAGCUUAAAAUAUCAAUACCUGCUAUACCACAGCCGGGUGGAACAAACCGUGAGGGUAUAAAUCCAUCAUCUUCUGCAAGAAUUAGAAGGGAUGCUGCAGCACGUGCUAUGCAGGGUUGGCAUGCACACCGUCUCCUUGCCAAUGACAUGUAUGGCGAUCACAUUUUUAAGGACAAAGAUUCAAUACCCCUUUCAAGCCGCGAUAAGAAUCUGAAAGGCUUCGGGGUACUCAAGAGGAAGAAAGCAUCUAGUCCAGAGCGCGCUUUCAAGGUCUCCCGUACAAAAGUUAACAAGUCACAGGAAGAUUCUAUGGUCAUUGAUGUUGGAGAACCUGCCGAUUGGGUGAAGAUUAAUGUUCGUCAAACUAAAGAAUGCUUUGAGAUAUACGCGCUAGUUCCUGGGCUUCUAAGGGAAGAGGUGCAUGUUCAGUCUGAUCCUGCUGGACGUCUGGUUAUAACUGGGGACCCUGACCAGCCUGAUAACCCUUGGGGCAUCACUGCGUUCAAGAAGGUAAUCAACUUGCCGUUAAGGAUUGAUCCGCAUCAAACAUCAGCAGUUGUCACGCUUCAUGGCCAGCUAUUUGUGCGUGCGCCAUUUGGGCAUCCGGACAUGUAGAUAUGCAUUCUGUUCACUUCAGUUUUCUUCGACUACUGUAGCAGUGUUUUUUAUGGAUAUUUAUAGGUUUUAGAAGAAAAAAAUGUUGCAAAAGUAGGAUUUGGUUUGCCAAACUGACAUAUGCAACUGCAACCUAUAGCCGGCGCUGCAAUCUUUUCUCUUGUGGUUGUUUAUAGUGGUACACAUAAAUUAGCCUGUUCAUUCGUGGAUUUUAAUAUUUAGUGACAGAUAUUUCAUUUCCUUUUCUUUUCCGAGAGAGAAACAACACAAAGCUGGGAAUAGGUGAAGUGAAGGAUUAGUUUCUUCACUUUCUGUUUUUCUCUCUCUAUCUUCUAUAAAACCGUUACUGGACAGAGUUCAGUUUUGAAUCUAAGUUUAUAUGUAUAUGACGAUUCCCUCAUUUUUCUAAUUGAGUAGCAGUGUUCAUUAA